rnacentral:rRNA from 1 species
GACAGAGGUGCCAAGCGUUAGGCGGAAUCACUGGGCUUAAAGCGUGUGUAGGCGGACUCGUAAGUACCUUGUGAAAUCCCUCGGCUCAACCGAGGAACUGCGCUCAUACUGCAUGGCUUGAGGGAGACAGGGUAAGCGGAACUGAUGGUGGAGCGGUGAAUGCGUGAUAUCAAUCAGGAACAUCCGGUGGCGAAAGCGGCUAGCUGGGCUCCUUCUGACGCUGAGUACGAAAGCUAGGGUAGCGGAACGGGAGU